rnacentral:tRNA from 1 species
GGGCCGUUAGCUCAUCGGGUAGAGCGGGAGCCUUUUAAGCUUCUGGGCCGGGUUCGAGCCCCGGGCGGCCCACCC